UACGUAGGGUGCAAGCGUUGUCCGGAAUUAUUGGGCGUAAAGAGCUCGUAGGCGGCUUGUCGCGUCGGCUGUGAAAACCCGGGGCUCAACCCCGGGCCUGCAGUCGAUACGGGCAGGCUAGAGUCCGGUAGGGGAGACUGGAAUUCCUGGUGUAGCGGUGAAAUGCGCAGAUAUCAGGAGGAACACCGGUGGCGAAGGCGGGUCUCUGGGCCGGAACUGACGCUAAGGAGCGAAAGCAUGGGGAGCGAACAGG
rnacentral:rRNA from 1 species